UACGUAGGGGGCUAGCGUUGUCCGGAAUCAUUGGGCGUAAAGAGCGUGUAGGCGGCCCGGUAAGUCCGCUGUAAAAGUCAAAGGCUCAACCUUUGAAUGUCAGUGGAUACUGUCGGGCUUGAGUCCGGAAGAGGCGAGUGGAACUCCUGGUGUAGCGGUGGAAUGCGCAGAUAUCAGGAAGAACACCAACGGCGAAGGCAGCUCGCUAGGACGGUACUGACGCUGAGACGCGAAAGCGUGGGGAGCGAACAGG
rnacentral:rRNA from 1 species